AUUCUCUCAGCACUGGAUGGAAUUCCAGUGUUUUUUGAGCUGCUGAGGAUCAAACACUUCAGUCCCUGGUGUAACUUACCCAACAGAGAUGAAGAAUUUGGGUUCUUGAGGGGUCUUUUUCUUGCCUUGUUGGGGAAAGGACCUUGAAAGUGGGAACUGUCUCUGUGUUUUGUCUGUUGCCAAGUAGUUCCUUCCCUUUGGAUUUCAGGAGCCAUGGGACCAUCAGGAGAGGAGGAAGUGCAGAACAUAAUCCUGAUCAGUGAUGAUGAGGCCGAGGACUCUCUUGGGAAUUCUGUCCUGUUUGUAGACCCCCAGGAGAAAUCUGCCCUGGGAGAGGAGAAACCUGAGGUUGUGGAUGAGGAAUGUGAAUUGAUGGUGACUUUCUGUAAACAAGCCAAUGUGAUGCCUCACGCGAGAUACGACUGCACCACACACCCCUUCGAGAGAACAGAAUGUGACACUUGCUCACCCCUGGGCAAGAACGCUGAGAUUUGUGAC
rnacentral:lncRNA from 1 species